rnacentral:tRNA from 1 species
UCCUUUAUGCCUUAGCUGGUAAAGAAUCUGCCUGCAAUGCAGGAGACCUGGGUUUGAUCCCUGGCUUGGGAA